rnacentral:pre_miRNA from 1 species
AGAUGGCGGUUGUGAUGAUGACGGUGAUGAUGCUGGUGACGAUGAUAGCUGCUAUCAUCAUCGCCACCAGCAUCAUUGCUAUCAUCAUCAUAAGCG